GAUGAACGCUAGCGGCAGGCUUAACACAUGCAAGUCGAGGGGCAACAUGAGUAGCAAUACUUGAUGGCGACCGGCGGAAGGGUGCGUAACGCGUGAGCAACCUACCCAUAACAGUGGGAUAAACCGGGGAAACUCGGUCUAAUAUCACAUAGGAUUAAUAUAAGGCAUCUUAGAUUAAUUAAAGCUUUGGUGGUCAUGGAUGGGCUCGCGUGACAUUAGUUAGUUGGUAAGGUAACGGCUUACCAAGGCUACGAUGUCUAGGGGUUCUGAGAGGAAGCACCCCCACACUGGGACUGAGACACGGCCCAGACUCCUACGGGAGGCAGCAGUGAGGAAUAUUGGACAAUGGUCGGAAGACUGAUCCAGCCAUGCCGCGUGCAGGAAGAAGAUCCUAUGGAUUGUAAACUGCUUUUAUGAGGGGGCAAUAAUGGCUACGAGUAGUCAGAUGAGAGUACCUCAUGAAUAAGCAUCGGCUAACUCCGUGCCAGCAGCCGCGGUAAUACGGGGGAUGCGAGCGUUAUCCGGAUUUAUUGGGUUUAAAGGGUGCGUAGGCGGUUAUGUAAGUCAGCGGUGAAAUAUUACAGCUUAACUGUAAGUGUGCCGUUGAUACUGCGUAGCUAGAAAGUAGUUGAAGUGGGUGGAAUGUGUGGUGUAGCGGUGAAAUGCUUAGAUAUCACACAGAAUAUCGAUAGCGCAGGCAGCCUGCUAAGCUAUAUUUGACGCUGAGGCACGAAAGUGUGGGGAUCAAACAGGAUUAGAUACCCUGGUAGUCCACACUGUAAACGAUGAUCACUCGUUGUCGGCGAUACACAGUCGGUGACCAAGCGAAAGCGAUAAGUGAUCCACCUGGGGAGUACGACCGCAAGGUUGAAACUCAAAGGAAUUGACGGGGGCCCGCACAAGCGGAGGAACAUGUGGUUUAAUUCGAUGAUACGCGAGGAACCUUACCCGGGCUCGAACGGUAGCGGAAUAUGUAAGAGAUUAUAUAGCCUUAGGGCUGCUAUCGAGGUGCUGCAUGGUUGUCGUCAGCUCGUGCCGUGAGGUGUCGGCUUAAGUGCCAUAACGAGCGCAACCCUUGUUGUCAGUUGCCAUCAGGUAAAGCUGGGGACUCUGGCAAGACUGCCACCGUAAGGUGUGAGGAAGGGGGGGAUGACGUCAAAUCAGCACGGCCCUUACGUCCGGGGCGACACACGUGUUACAAUGGGUGGUACAGAGGGGAGCUACUAUGUGAAUAGAUGCCAAUCUCAAAAGCCAUUCUCAGUUCGGAUUGGAGUCUGCAACUCGACUCCAUGAAGUUGGAUUCGCUAGUAAUCGCGCAUCAGCCAUGGCGCGGUGAAUACGUUCCCGGGCC
rnacentral:rRNA from 1 species